UUUUGUGCAAACUCUUGACUGCAGCACACUGACAGUAAGUAUUUAUUUCACCAAAUCCCUCUUUCAGCUCGUGUGUUGGUGCGCGCGCGUUUGUGAACUGACUGCUUGUGCUCAAGCUCAGAUGGAAACGUAACUUUUUCUCUUACACUAUUUUUGUUUUUAUCUUGUUUAAGGACUGUGAGAGUCAGUGCAACGCUUAAAAGUUUUUUCGAAGAAUAGAAAAUAUUGAAGAGGCGCGAGACCAGGUCACGCUAGAGUCUCGAAAAGCCCCGGAUGCAGAAACGGCACUGCAGCUGAUUUACCUGCAACAGGUGGUUCUUCAGAUCAAGGGCUCACACUUUGUCCUCAGUUUCCUGCAUCCUGUCAAAUCACUAAAAAGAUGUUGGUAAUGUGAUCAAAUUCGUGAUUGGAUGAUCAAGUGGAUCCUGAGUUCCGCACCUUGUUGACACAUGGACAGCUGUCAAUCAACAAAAAUCAGGACGAGCAGUGUGAAUGUGUUAGUUACUGCAUCUGUGUGCAGCUAAUAUGUUUCUGUCUGUAAAAUUCUGAAUGGUUAUGGUUAUUGAAAGGGACAGGACUAUGAUAAGGAGCAUGGUUAAUUAAUAUGAACUCCAUAUGAACUCUUUUGCUUGUGUAACCUUUGUUAGCCACGAACAUGUUCAUACUGCUAUUACAGCAGGAUAUUAGCAGUGUGUGUAGGUGUGUUUACCUGACGCUUAGCUCACAUUUUGGCCAUUAACACACACCUCAUAAUCACACCACGCUGACUCCAGGGUGAAGGUGAAAGUGACUGAGCUGCUGAAUAAAUAUGACUUUAAAGCUACAUGAGCUCCAGCUACGUCUCAGGUAUAAUUAGUAGUAUUUUUUUAAAAAAAAGCACAGUUUUGAUUUAAUCCUUUCCACAUGGCUGACAUUUUCACUAUUGUUUAAUGUUUCUUUCCAAAAAGUCAAACUUUUUGGCCAAAAAAGUCACCCAGUCAAAAGCUUACUCAUGUUAGCUAUUUAUGGAUCUAAUGUUAGCUCCUACGGUAUAAGUGGAACACACAAUGAUUGAUUUUAUUUCACAUUAAUGAGCUCAAAACAUUCUCCAUUUAUGCAAAAAAAAUUGCU